rnacentral:lncRNA from 1 species
GUAUAGGACUACUGAGGUGACGUCAUACCUCGGUGAUGGAACGUACUAUGUACGCCACCUAUCGAGAAUUAUUUCGUGUUCUGAGAGAAUUUGACGUUUACCUUGGCGGAGAAACGGCUCUCGUUCUUUACUUGACUGUUGGCUGUUGUGUCGAAUAGGUACCAUAAAAUGGCGGAUGAUUUCAUCCAACGUAUUUUAUAACACCAAGCAGUGUUAAUUGAGGUGAAAAGUUACCACAAAUGGUUUUAUGCAGUAGGGAGACAUGGGGGUAAAACAACCCCUCUUGGAAUCAAAAUAGAAAUCACCGCCAUUUGGGAGAAACCCUAACGAAGUCGUAGCCCCUUAUUUGACCACCCAGGAAACCACUACAGCCACAGUCAAGUCACCAUUGGGAGUAUGUUAUUUGGGAAACACUUGGGGCGUUCCUGCUCCUGAUUUUCAUUCUACACCUGGACAUAUAGGAGGUACCGUUUCGUACCACCCAGGUGUUCAUUUUGGAUUGCAGCAUCGGACUUUACCUUGAAGUCUUUGGAUGAAGGUAUUGGUUUGGGAACCUUUAGUGAUGUGUUUUAGUAACUAUUGGUUUUUUCUUACAUUUCAGACUCUCAGUUUAAUGCACUAUGUUAAUUAAUUUUUUUUCCAGAUUUAGUUUACCUCUGGUUUUUUUUAAUAUGACAUAUUUGUAUACUAUUGUAUUAGGUUCCCGAACUUAUGGUUAGUUACCUGUGUACACAAGGUAAUACGCCUAGAAAAUUAGGUUUUUAUAUUUUAUUAUUGGUCUGAUAUUUAUUUUUGUAAUAUUACUUGCUUGUUUCCCAAAUAUGUUAUUUAUUCGCUUUAUUUCAUUUGUUCAGUUAAUUCGUCGCUACUUUAUUUUAUUGCAUUUGCUCGGGUAAUUUAGGUCAUCGUUUCGGUAUUUAUCUUAGCUUCAUUUUUAUAACUUGUAUUAAUUCAUUUUGCUUAAUUCACCAUGUAUUUUCUCUUCGUCAGUCUUGUGCCUAUUUAUUUAUAUAUUAGUCAUAUUUUUCGGGUUUUAAUUCAGUUGUACGUAGCAAGCGUACUAUAACCAUUGGGUAGAAAUCUCAUGUGAGUUGUACCCUAUAUGUAAGUGAGAGGUAAUUAUGUAAUUUGUAACAGAUUAGUUAUUGUAGUUGGCACAAAUAUAACUUUUGUCAUGUUAGAGUCACAUGAUAUGCACUUUGUGUAACUCAGAGAUUGUCAAAAAUCUAGUAGUUAUUUUAAUAAAUGUUUAUUUAUUUUGUAUAUCAUUUAUUUUUAUUAUUUCUCUAUGUUCAUUAUUACAGGUUUGAUAUAUUUAAUAUUUGACAGCAGUAUAAGAUACCUGGGAGAAUGAUCGAAGAUCAUUUUCAUGGCGCCCAUGAUUUGUUAGAUUUAUUUAUCUUGUUCGUUUUUAGAAAUUAUUCAUCUUCAUUCCUCUUCAGUACAUUAUUCUUAUUUUAUUAGUUCACCUUUUAGUCAUCAUUACUAUCUACAUAGAGCUACUGUUCUUUGACAGGCAUGCAAACGAGCCGUAUCCAUCCUUGAGUGUCAAGUUGUUCUCUUGUAUCUCUUGCUAGCCAACUCUAUUCAGUUUGCCUCUGUCUCUCCAUACUUCUACUGCUAUCCCUAUUAUCCCUUUUAAUCCCCCUUUCUUCAGUACUACUGCAAAGUAGUGUUUUUCUUACUGCGGCUUCUCAACGUAGAAGCCACUUCACCCUCUUCUUUACAUCCAACCUCUCUUCAUUUUUAUUCCUAUAGGUUAUGUUUUUUUUCCUUACUUCUGUUGGAGUAUAUCUUUCUUUCUACUUUCACUCCAACAGAAGUUUUCUUAUUUUUGUUACAAUACAUACUUAAAACCCUGUAUUGAUGGAAAACAUGACUGGUUGUUAAAGUAACUAAUUUUUUUAUGGUCCAACAUAAGCGAAUGAAUCAAAAAACAGAAUGUUGAGAAAGGACGUGGCUAUAGUUGGGUUUUAAUUUCAGUAUUUUAUAACACACAUACAUAUAUAAUCGAAAAAGCCUCUUAUACCAGUAGGUGUCGAGGUGUACAAGCUUUCUUAAAUUUUGUCUACACAUUUACGCCACUCUUUUCUGUCUCUAUCUAGUUCCUUCGCCUGACUUCAUGUCUUCCCUCUUUCUUCGAGAAUCUCAUUUAUGCUUUUGUUUCAUGUUUUUCUUGGUCGUCCCCUACGAGUUUUUCCCUAUUCUUCUCGCCUCCCAUAUCUUCUUCACCUGUCUAGUUUCGUUCAUUCUAAUUAUGUGUCUCCACCAUUUCAGUUUCUUUUCUUCUGCUUUUACCUUUAGUGACUUCGUUCCUAGUUCUUGUCUAAUGUCUUCGUUUCUUCUUCUGUCCGUUCUUUUAACACCCAGCACUUUCCUCAAGUAUUUCAUUUCACUUGCUUGCAUUCGCUUUGUUUGUCUUUCGUCAAGUACCAAGUUUUCUGCCCAGUAGGUUAACACAGGUUGGUACAAUGUUUGGUAUACGACAUUUUAGUUUUUGUAUUUAUUUCUUUUCUGUUCAAGAAGUUUUUGUAUAGUGCAUAAUAUAAUUUAGUUGCUGAGUUUAUUCUGGCACCAAUCUGGUCUUCUUGUGUCCUUUUGUUAUUCAAAGUUAUCCCUAAGUACUUGAAUACUUCUAUCUGUUCGAUUAUAUUUCCUUUAAUGUUAAUGUUUAUUUUUGUAUUGCUUUUUGUUACUACCAUCACUUUAGUUUUCUCGGUGUUUACUCUUAAGUUGUAUGGUUUUAAUUUAGCCCGAUCAGGGAACGCAAAAUUUUAAGAAAACCUCCAAAAAAAUAAAGGAAGGAUGAAAAUUUCGGCGUUAUCGAAAUGCCUCCCACUUUUUCAGGUAAAUAUUUUCAUACAUGAAAUGCCUCCCAGGUACAAUCGAAAUGCCUCCGUUUCGUUAAUCAUUUAGGCUGAUAUUUUGUCUAUUUAAUCUCUGUAUAAUGACACAAUGUUGCCAAAUCAUAAUUUAAAUAGGUACUAUCUAUUUUCAUUUUUUAAUUCUUAAGGUACUAGUACACUUUAGAAUACCAAAAAUAACCAUUUUUUUCAAUAAUUUUUUUCUCAGAACCUUUUUCAAAAAUGAACACAAAACUUUUUACAUAUUAAUAUCUAACUCUUAGAUAGUACAAAAAAUGUAUCUUUUUUCAUUUAUGCAUGUACACUAAUAUUGUAGAGGGCGCAAAAGUCGAGGCCUCGAAAAAUUAUGGCGGACAGUUAAUCUCAGGAUUGGGAUAUCUGAAACAAAAAAAUCGUACUGCAUUUGAAAAAGCAAGGUUUAUUACGUGACAAUUUACCACAAUUUGACCAAAAAAUAAAAAAUAAACAUUUUUUAACCAUGAAACACUGAAGAAAAACGGGCGAUUUUUUCACAGAAUUUUUUCAAAUUUCCGUAAAAUCUUUUUUUUGCGGAAUUUUUCACUAACGGUGGUUAAUUAUCACGUAGGAAACCUUCCUUUUUCAAAUGCCUUACGAUUUUUUUUGUUUCGUUCUAAGAAAAAAUAUCUUGAAAAAAUGCUUAUUUUUGGUCAUCUAAAGUGUACUAGUACCUUUGCAGUAAGUGCAUAAUUACAUAUCUGAAAAUUCGACAUUUCCUCCACAUCUUUGGGCUGACGACUCUUCAUCCUUACAAAGAACCACAAACCCAUGCGAACGUUUUCAUUCCAAGUAUAAUUCUUCUUUCUACUGCCCUUAUCCUAACAUUAAUAAUUUUAUUGAUAUAAUUUUACAAUUUCAAAUAAAUACCUACAUUAAAAUGAAUUCUGUUUCGACACCAAAAAAAAAUUGUUGCGGAAAGUACAGCAUAGAUUAGAAUUCGUAGAAUUUGAAGUAGUAUCAUAUAAAUUUAGGAAAAAUAUUUUGUAAUUUUAUAUUUCUAUAUACAUUUUGUAAUAUUUUCCAAAUAAGUUUCUUGUGAUGUUAUUUUUAAUAAAUCUAUAAAAUACU